rnacentral:rRNA from 1 species
AGCAGCCGCGGUAAUUCCAGCUCCAAUAGCGUAUAUUAAAGUUGUUGCAGUUAAAAAGCUCGUAGUUGAAUUUCGGGAUCAAUAUUUCGGUCAUGCCGUUGGUAUGCACUGUUAUCAUUGAUUUCUCACCUUCUAAAGAACCGUAAUGCCAUUAAUUUGGUGUUACGGGGAAUUAGGACUGUUACCUUGAAAAAAUUAGAGUGUUUAAAGCAGGCUCACGCUUGAAUACAUUAGCAUGGAAUAAUGAAAUAGGACAUCCGAUUCUAUUUUGUUGGUUUCUAGGAUCGAUGUAAUGAUUAAUAGGGAUAGUUGGGGCAUUAGUAUUCAAUUGUCAGAGGUGAAAUUCUUGGAUUUAUUGAAGACUAACUACUGCGGAAGCAUUUGCCAAGGAUGUUUUCAUUAAUCAAGAACGAAGUUAGGGAUCGAAGACGAUCAGAUACCGUCGUAGUC